rnacentral:tRNA from 2 species
GGGCGGCUAGCUCAGCUGGAAGAGCGCCUGCCUUACACGCAGGAAGUCACUGGUUCGAGCCCGGUGCCGCCCACCA